CGCGCACACCUCGGGCAGGGCUCGGAGCCCGGCUUGAACUUCCCGCCCACAGCGCGCGGCGGCGACGGGGACAGCCCCGCCAACCGUCACGGUCAUGGUGGCCCCGCCAAAGGCAAAGGUCAUGGUCGUGGAGGCGGUAACGGUGGGGCAAGGGCGGUGACCGGCGGCAACGGGCCACGGAAAAUUCAAUGGCCAAUAUCAAAAAGGUUGACUGUGCUCUACUAGCACCAUGUGGAAAGACCCUUUGGAACAAGACAGGGUGUGCACAUUAUGUCAGCAUUACCUGAGGUAAUGCAGACUCCACACAACCAGAUCAAGAUUUGGAUCCACUGCAGUAUGGAUGGAAGGAUGAAAAUGGACAUUACAUGCCCGACUGGUUUCCUGGACCUGCAGUACUAGACAGUCUCUUUGAAGAUGUUUCUGUGUGACAAUACUGAAGACGACGGACACAUAGAUGAUACACUUGACAUUGAUGACACAGGUUCUGGAUCAGAAUGGAGCGAAGACUCGGAAAAUAAAAAUGAGAUGUGAAACAUGCCCUGCUGUCUGUCUGUGGGGGUACACUUCUUAAUUAAUGGGUAGUACAUUGUAUUAAUGGCAGUACCCCAAACUCAACCUUGCAAAAGUACACUGUGUUGAACCAAAUCUUGCUAUUUCUGGUUAAGGUGGCUUGCCAUCAGCCACCCGGGCCUGGUAGACCCAAGGCAGCGGAUAACUGUUCUGUCAUAGGUCAUUUUAUAUCCCCCAUGGUGUGAUAGAUCAUUUAAACUUGGUUUUAGCUGGUACCCACAAUAUCUAGGCUAGUGUGGUAGCUCCCAAGGGUCGGGCCAUUUCCACUAUCGAACCCCUCGGCAUGGGAAUGGAUGAGUCUGAGGGCGGCCCAUAGCUACAGGGAUAAAGGGUAGGGGUUUAGGUGCAAUCUCCCUGUUGCAGACUCGUCUAGUCAGGAGAACGACAACGAAUAAAAUACCUCCCGAAA